rnacentral:rRNA from 1 species
CGGCGGCUUACACCUGCGCUUUAAGCGGAGCGAAGGUGCUUGCCCUUGAGCUUACGGCGGACGGGUGAGUAAUGCUUAGGAAUCUGCCUAUUAGUGGGGGACAACGUUUCGAAAGGAACGCUAAUACCGCAUACGUCCUACGGGAGAAAGCAGGGGAUCUUCGGACCUUGUGCUAAUAGAUGAGCCUAAGUCGGAUUAGCUAGUUGGUGGGGUAAAGGCCUACCAAGGCGACGAUCUGUAGCGGGUCUGAGAGGAUGAUCCGCCACACUGGGACUGAGACACGGCCCAGACUCCUACGGGAGGCAGCAGUGGGGAAUAUCGGACAAUGGGCGAAAGCCUGAUCCAGCCAUGCCGCGUGUGUGAAGAAGGCCUUUUGGUUGUAAAGCACUUUAAGCGAGGAGGAGGCUUCUUUGGUUAAUACCCAAAGUAAGUGGACGUUACUCGCAGAAUAAGCACCGGCUAACUCUGUGCCAGCAGCCGCGGUAAUACAGAGGGUGCAAGCAGUUAAUCGGAUUUACUGGGCGUAAAGCGUGCGUAGGCGGCUAAUUAAGUCAAAUGUGAAAUCCCCGAGCUUAACUUGGGAAUUGCAUUCGAUACUGGUUAGCUAGAGUAUGGGAGAGGAUGGUAGGAAUUCCAGGUGUAGCGGUGAAAUGCGUAGAAAGAUCCUGGGAAGGAAUUACCCGAUCGCCGAAAGGCAGCCAUUCUUGGCCUUAAAUACUUGACAGCUGAAGGUACGCAACCCAUUGGGGGAGCACACCAGGGAUUUUGAUACCCUGGUACUUCAUGCCCGUAACGAUUUUUCCCUAACCGUGGGGUUUGUGAACCUAGGGCCAU